AUGCCCGCUGUCAGCAUUUUCUGGCUUAUUAGUGACCACAGGAAACAGCAUAAAAAUGUCAGGCAGAAAAAUAAAAAUAAAAAAGGCUACUUAAUAUUGUCAAUUCAUCAAAUUUCUGUUUUGGCAGAUGACACCUUUAUAAAUGGAAAUGGCAGUACAGUCUUUUUCAGCAUGGAAGAGUCCCAUAGAGAGGUUCCUCACUUCCUUUGCUUCUCCUGUCUGCUUUUGGGAACAUUCUUUGCUCAGGUAAAUAGUAGAGAGAAAAUGCUGAGUUGAAAUAGAAUUUUUAUCUUUUAGUUCAUAAGUAACUUUUUGCAACUUUGAGUAACAUGGA
rnacentral:lncRNA from 1 species